AUAUCUCAACCACAUUCAUUUUAUGUGGCUUGGACUUGGAGGAAUGUGCAGGCUCUGACUCUUGUUAGUCUGCUCCUCUGAAAAAUAUGAGUGGUACCUGUAUUGGAACUCUGGCUAGGUGUGAUACAUAUCUGCAUCUAAUCAAGGCUUCCUAUUGGUUAUGCUGCUUAACCCUAUGACUUGAUAA
rnacentral:misc_RNA from 1 species